AGUGAACGCUGGCGGUAGGCCUAACACAUGCAAGUCGAACGGCAGCACAGUAAGAGCUUGCUCUUACGGGUGGCGAGUGGCGGACGGGUGAGGAAUACUUCGGAAUCUACUUUUUCGUGGGGGAUAACGUAGGGAAACUUACGCUAAUACCGCAUACGACCUACGGGUGAAAGCAGGGGAUCUUCGGACCUUGCGCGAUUGAAUGAGCCGAUGUCGGAUUAGCUAGUUGGCGGGGUAAAGGCCCACCAAGGCGACGAUCCGUAGCUGGUCUGAGAGGAUGAUCAGCCACACUGGAACUGAGACACGGUCCAGACUCCUACGGGAGGCAGCAGUGGGGAAUAUUGGACAAAGGGCGCAAGCCUGAUCCAGCCAUACCGCGUGGGUGAAGAAGGCCUUCGGGUUGUAAAGCCCUUUUGUUGGGAAAGAAAAGCAGCAGGUUAAUACCCCGCUGUUCUGACGGUACCCAAAGAAUAAGCACCGGCUAACUUCGUG
rnacentral:rRNA from 1 species